rnacentral:tRNA from 1 species
UCUCUGGUGGUCCAGUGGCUAAGACUCUGCACUCCCAAUGCAGGAGGUCUGGGUUCAAUCCCUGGUCAGAGAG